AUACUGUGAUGAUUGCAUAAUCCAGCAGACUGAAUUCUGAAUUCUGGUCUGAUAUAUGU
rnacentral:snoRNA from 1 species